AAGAAGAAGAAGAACAAUCCAAUUACAGACAUAUUAUCUUCUGUGAUUCUAAUCAGGGCAUUGAUACAUAUCAAAGGAAUCAAUGAACAAUGAAUGGAUGGAAUGUACUCAGUAUAGAAUGGUCACGAAGAAGGCUGGAGCUACUGCUGAGUGUGAUAAAACCACCAUUGAUGGGGAAUGUACUACUGUGUAUGUUUAUCUUAUUGAUCAUUAAAUAAAAUACU
rnacentral:lncRNA from 1 species